AUUGUUAUCCUUAUCCUUCAUUUGUUAGCCAUCACCCCAAGCCCCGUUACAACCUUUAACUUCAUCUUGAGUGUCAUGCGUUUCAAUAUGUGGAGUUUGAAUUUGGUAUGAGCAUAUGGUGUCACUGGUUCUCGCAUCUAAGUAGUAGCAUUCCAUUCAUGAGAUCAUAUCUAAACUUGUUUAUUAACUCCAAAAAUUGCUUUCUUUGUGAUACAUAUAUGUGAGCGUUUGUUUUCAUAUCUACAUCAAUCUUCUCACAUAUAACUAGUAUAGGGUGUGUAGUUAGAAAAUCUGAGUGAAAAUUGAGUGCAUACUUUGAAAGGAAUUGAGUAAAUUCUCUAAGGCAUGUUACUACAUCAAAAACAUUGUUUUAAUCGAUUAAUUGUGAACAAGUAAGUAGUGACUAUGAUUAAGUACGUGUUUAAGUGUGAAGAUGAUUCAAAUCUGUGGGGAUAAUGAUUUUUAACAUGUCAUAUGCAUUGGAAUCCCUG
rnacentral:lncRNA from 1 species